UUGCUUUAAUAUAAGACAACACUUCUUCAACGAAGCUUGUUAUGUUGUUCUAUGUUAACAUCUCUUAAAAGUAGGACGACUUAUACGACGACAAAAAUUGUUCAAAAUAAAUGGUACAUAUUUCAGUUCGAAUUUUUGAGGAUGAAUAAAAAAAAAAGUCCGGUCUGGUCAAAAAUGUAAGAUGUCCGGCGUAAAUCCUGUCUGGUCGCAUAAACAAUUCAUUGUCCAUCUGGCAUCUCCAUCAUCUGUGUAUACAACAUCAUCAAAGCUUCGUUGGUAUGAUCUUUGGCUUCACGACGAAACUCUUUACUGUCGAUUUGUUGACAAAACGUCUUCUUCAUAGGAACUUCAGCGCUCUUCUCCUGCAGGAAACAAAACAAUUUACUUUUUUAGUACAAAAGUAGAAGAAAAUAGAGAAUUCAAUUUUAUUUUCCAAUUUCCCGACCUUAACAGCAUUCCUAGAGUUACAAAUUAUACAGUGAUGUAGGUAUCAGCUGAUGUCAGCAGUGUGGAUCUCUCAAUAAAUCAAGUCAUGUAAACAAACAAGACAACACAUAAACAAGGAGAGGACAAAAUCAAUCACAGAUGCAGAUGAAGUACAUUUAUGUUGUUUACCCAAGUUAAACCAAGUUUAAAAUAAAUUUUAAACUUUAAAGUUACGAAAUAUUUUGUUUAUUUAGCUAACCAGUAUUUACACAUCUUCAGGAAGCUAACCCUAACCCUAUCCCUGUUAAUACAGACGGUUUUGCUGAAUAUAAAUAUGUGUUUCU